rnacentral:rRNA from 1 species
UACGUAGGGUGCAAGCGUUACCCGGAUUUAUUGGGCGUAAAGAGUGCGUAUGCGGUUUUGAAAGUCAUUAUUGAAAUCUUGGGGCUCAACCCCAAGCCUGGUAGUGAUACUUCAAGACUAGAUUACUUGAGGGGGUACCGGAACAGUUGGUGGAGCAGUGAAAUGCGUUGAGAUCAACUGGAACACCAAAGGCGAAGGCAGGUACCUGGAAAGUCAAUGACGCUGUUGCACGAAAGCGUGGGGAGCAAAACGG